UAUAUAUGAAGUUUAGAUCAAAAUUAUGCAUAUUUAAUUAUUAAACAUAGAUAUAAAAAUUAAUUUUCAUAAUAUAAAAUAUAUGAUAUGCUUCACUUGAAAUCUCAAUGGAAUAAUUCUAUAAAUUGAAACACACGUUUCACACACUUACUUUGGAAUUAAGUUUAAAAUAAUCUAGAUUUGAGAAUUGAAGAUUUUUUAAGACACCACAUA
rnacentral:lncRNA from 1 species